ACAUACGGCAGGUGCCAGUGUUGUUGCGGCAUUCAAAACCGAAUUCGGACCACUAAACGAAUUUUUAAAGUUUGCCAACAUGGUCGCCGAGGGUCACAAUAAGGGCAUGACACCAUUCCCUGGCCUGCAGACGGCCAUGCAGUGAUACAAGGGCCGUUCUGCCACCACAGUCACGACAGCAACUAGUGCCUUACCUGCCCUGGUGACACUGGGGACGUGCUCAAAUGUGAGGAAGUCAGUGGAGGGUGUUGCGCCGUGGAGACUAAAGAGUUAUACUAAGUCGUGAAGUGAAGUGUGUUUGAUAGGAGAAUUCAUGUCGUGUGCAUAUCUUUACGUUGGGUUGUAAGGUGCUGCGUCGAAAAGGGAGUUAUCAAAUUAUGUACGAAUAAUUCGAGCACGCCCUGAGUGGGUAAGUAUAGUUAUACUCAGUCGUGAAGUGAAGUGCGUUUGACAGUGUCGUCUGUUUGACAGAAAAAAUUCACGCCGUAUGCGAAUCUUUUAGUUUACUGUAGAAGGUACUGCGUCGGAAAGGGAGUUAUUAAAUUAUACACGAAUGUGCAUAUGUGAAACUAGACGUAGCGUUAGGACGCAAGUAAAAUAUUAUGCGAUGUGUAGGAAAAGAUCUAGGAUAGCUGUAAACUUACGCAGUGUAUGAUGUACGCGACACUUCGUAUGUGACGAGCUAAUAAAAGCAAUUGUGAUGUUAUAAUA